AACGCACAUUGCGCCCGCGAGUAUUCUCGCGGGCAUGCCUGUUCGAGCGUCAUUUCAACCAUCAAGCCCCAGGCUUGUGUUGGAGUCCUGCGGCUGCCGCAGCCUCCCAAAAUCAGUGGCGGGCUCGCUAUCACACCGAGUGCAGUAGUUUACUCUUCGCUCAGGGCGUGUGGCGGGUGCUAGCCGUGAAACCCCCUACUUCUAAAGGUUGACCUCGGAUCAGGUAGGAAUACCCGCUGAACUUAA
rnacentral:misc_RNA from 1 species